rnacentral:rRNA from 1 species
UAAAAAGCUCGUAGUUGGAUCUCGACUCAUGUUAAGUGGUCCACCUCUCGGUGGUUACUGCUUGACUGAGUUACCUACGGAUUUGUCUCUUGAUUCUCUUAACCGAGUGUCUUGAGCGAUCUGUUCGUUUACUUUGAACAAAUUAGAGUGCUUAAAGCAGGCAUCUCGCCCGAAUAAUCUUGCAUGGAAUAAUAGAAUAGGACUUCGGUUCUAUUCUGUUGGUCUUCGGAUCCGAAGUAAUGAUUAAGAGGGACAGACGGGGGCAUUAGUAUUACGGCGCUAGAGGUGAAAUUCUUGGACCGUCGUAAGACUAACAACAGCGAAAGCAUUUGCCAAGAAUGUUUUCAUUAAUCAAGAACGAAAGUUAGAGGUUCGAAGGCGAUCAGAUACCGCCCUAGUUCUAACCAUAAACGAUGCUAACCAGCGAUCAGCCUGAGUACUUUCAAGGACUCGGCUGGGAACUUCUCGGGAAACCAAAGUUUUUGGGUUCCGGGG